AAAUGAGAAGUAAAAAAUUACAUUUAGUUUCGACCUAAAAUUUUGAUGACAAAUUCAUCCUUAUUUA
rnacentral:tRNA from 1 species